rnacentral:rRNA from 1 species
GUACCGUAAACCGACACAGGUGGGUAGGAAGAGAAUUCUAAGGCGCUUGAGAGAACUCGGGUGAAGGAACUAGGCAACAUAGCACCGUAACUUCGGGAGAAGGUGCGCCCUUGAUCGUGGCCCAUGCGGGCUACAGCGAUCGGGGGCCGCAGUGACCAGGCCGCUGCGACUGUUUAUCAAAAACACAGGACUCUGCUAAAUCGAAAGAUGCUGUAUAGGGUCUGACACCUGCCCGGUGCUGGAAG